rnacentral:misc_RNA from 1 species
AAGUCGUAACAAGGUUUCCGUAGGUGAACCUGCGGAAGGAUCAUUACCAAGUUUAAUCCAAAAACACUUAACCCAUGUGCACUAUGAUUUGUCUGUCUUUGGGGUGGAGGAAUCGAGGGUAUUAAUCCUCGCUGAUGUCACCCCACAUGUGUAAACAUCCUUUUUAUUUUCUAUUGGAAUCUACUUGUCUUAAUAAAUAUUAGACAACUUUUAACGGUGGAUCUCUUGGCUCGUG